rnacentral:rRNA from 1 species
UACAGAGACUGCAAGCGUUAUUCGGAUUCACUGGGCGUAAAGGGUGCGCAGGCGGUUGGGUGUGUCAGAUGUGAAAUCCCGAGGCUUAACCUCGGAACUGCGUCUGGAACUACUCGACUAGAGUACUGGAGAGGGAAACGGAAUUCACGGUGUAGCAGUGAAAUGCGUAGAUAUCGUGAGGAACACCAGAGGCGAAGGCGGUUUCCUGGACAGUUACUGACGCUCAGGCACGAAAGCAUGGGGAGCAAAAGGG